rnacentral:lncRNA from 1 species
CCCUGGUGCAGCAGACGCACAUCCCGAUGUGGAGAGACGCCGGCAGAUGUAGAUCAGUCAAAGGAAUGGUCUGUCAGGUCCCGGUCAGCUUUGGUGGGAAAUAAGGCAGGGAGAUGCUCGGUGGGCAUGGAGGGUGUGGUGGGUGUGUUACUUUAAAGUGGGGUCAGGGUCGCUUCCCUGAGAAAGCGACAGAAGGAGCAGCCUGAGACUAUCUGGAGAGGAGCAUUCCCAGCAGAAGGAAUGGCUAUGCAAAGGCCCUGGGGUGGGCAUGGAUCCAUAGCCAGGAGGUGCCUGUGGCUGGAGAGGAGAGAAUGAGGGGUGGAGAAGCAGGGGAAUCAGAGGUGAGGAGGGGUCGAGUCAGCAGGCCCCCAGCCACUGGAGGGACUUGGAUUCUGCUCUGAGUCGGGUGGGAGCAGCAGAGGUUUUGGCCAGAGGAAUGACAAGAUCUCACUUGUUUAUUUCUGCCACCGUCGGCUCAGUCGAGCUUACUUGUUGAAUGAGACUUGGCCCGGGCCGUCCCAGAGUCCUGUGGCUGAGGGCUGGGCUGCCGCCAGGCUGCUGACACUCCUCUCCUGGCACCCGCCUGGCUGGGUGGCCCAGGGCCCUGCUCUGGGGCCUCUCAUUUGUGGCAUUUCUCACGUUCGCCGUUUAUGAGUCUCAUUACACCUGGCAGGAGAAGGAGCCUCAGCAGACGGCUCAGAAAGUGUCUUUUAAAGAACCUUUCAGAGCUCGGCUGAGAGCUGCUACACCGAUGAAACGGCCGAUGAUAACUUGGAGGAGGAAUUUGGGCUGUGGAAGAGACGGUGAAGAGGAGGGGCUUCGAAAUGGUCCUCAGGUGGAUGAUGGGGUGUCCAAAACGGCCCCGGCCAUGAAGGGAACUUGCAGGGUCUCAGAGCCAAGCGCCCAGACAGGCCUGGCAAGUCACAAAGGAGUGAGGAAGGCUCGACCCCACCAGCUGACAGCCAGCAGGCCCUGAGGGAGGACCACCUGCCAGACUCGUUCCUGCAGGUUCUGGAUAUGGACUCAGCCAAUCCCCCAGCCCUGUCGGGUAGGUUUAUCACAGUUUCAUUGUAGAAGGGGAAGCACCCAGGGAAGGAGAUCGCCCGGGUCCCACAGCUGGCAGGUGGCAUAUGGACAAUACAGGACAGGAGUUUGGGUGGCAGGUCCUGGGCCUCCCUGUUGGGAGACAGUGGGGAGGGGUGGAGACUGUGGCAAACUGGGAGCACAAGCCCAUCUAAAGGGGCAGCCUGGACUUUGUGCCACCAAUUGCUGCUAUGAGAGGGUGUGGGCCCAGGGUGGCCCCAUCUCCUGAGACCUCGGGAGAACCAAGCAAUUGAUUCUCAAGGGAGACCUCUAAGUUGUCCACGUGUUGACGUUGGAUUCAUAUUCCUCAAAAACACUGAGAGGGACAGACAAGACACGUCUGCUGCCUGGUUUUGGGCCAUGCAUCCACAGUGUGACCUCUGACCGUGGAGAGAAUCGUUCAUUCUAGAAAGUCCUGAGCCGCA